rnacentral:RNase_P_RNA from 1 species
UUCUUGAGGCAGAUGAUCGCCCGCUGAAGUGUACUGCUUUUGCGGGAGGAAAGUCCGAACACCACAUGGCAAUCCGCCGCGAAGAAUUCGCGGGCAUCCUUGGUGAAAACCGGGGAUGACGGACAGUGUCACAGAAAACAAACCGUCCGCCCGAGCCGAAAGGCAGAGGCGUGACAAGGGUGAAACGGCGGGGUAAGAGCCCACCGCUCCGAGAGUAAUCGAGGAGGCACGAUAAACCCCGGAUGGUGCAAGGCCGAACAGGAAGCAUGGCGGCCAGUCGUUUCCGCCGCAAGGCGGGGAGCUUCCGGGUAGGCCGCAUCCGGCAAAAGCCGGAUGUCCAGCCGCAAGGCGGGGCAAGAUAAAUGAUCAUCACGCCGGUGAAAACCGGCGGACAGAAUUCGGCUUAUCGCCUCAGUUGAAUG